UACGUAGGGGGCAAGCGUUGUCCGGAUUUAUUGGGCGUAAAGAGCGUGUAGGCGGCCAGACAGGUCAGCUGUGAAAACUCGAGGCUCAACCUCGAGACGUCGGUUGAAACCGUCUGGCUAGAGUCCGGAAGAGGAGAGUGGAAUUCCCGGUGUAGCGGUGAAAUGCGCAGAUAUCGGGAGGAACACCUGUGGCGAAAGCGGCGCACUGGACCACAACUGACGCUGAGGCGCGAAAGCUAGGGGAGCAAACAGG
rnacentral:rRNA from 1 species